UCACUUUAGUGUCAGCCUAAGCACGGAGA
rnacentral:piRNA from 1 species